GAAAGAGGAUUAAUGUACUACUCACACCACUCCUAUGUAUACCAGGUAGACUACACCGGUUGGAAAGAGGAUUAAUGUGCUACUCACACCACUCCAAUGUAUACCAGGUAGACUACACCGGUUGGAAAGAGGAUUAAUGUGCUACUCACACCACUCCAAUGUAUACCAGGUAGACUACACCGGUUGGAAAGAGGAUUAAUGUACUACUCACACCACUCCUAUGUAUACCAGGUAGACUACACCGGUUGGAAAGAGGAUUAAUGUACUACUCACACCACUCCUAUGUAUACCAGGUAGACUACACCGGUUGGAAAGAGGAUUAAUGUGCUACUCACACCACUCCUAUGUAUACCAGGUAGACUACACCGGUUGGAAAGAGGAUUAAUGUGCUACUCACACCACUCCUAUGUAUACCAGGUAGACUACACCGGUUGGAAAGAGGAUUAAUGUGCUACUCACACCACUCCUAUGUAUACCAGGUAGACUACACCGGUUGGAAAGAGGAUUAAUGUGCUACUCACACCACUCCUAUGUAUACCAGGUAGACUACACCGGUUGGAAAGAGGAUUAAUGUGCUACUCACACCACUCCUAUGUAUACCAGGUAGACUACACCGGUUGGAAAGAGGAUUAAUGUGCUACUCACACCACUCCUAUGUAUACCAGGUAGACUACACCGGUUGGAAAGAGGAUUAAUGUGCUACUCACACCACUCCUAUGUAUACCAGGUAGACUACACCGGUUGGAAAGAGGAUUAAUGUGCUACUCACA